ensembl:lncRNA
GGGGGGGGGGAGCAAGAGGAGGAGUGAGGGGCUGCGUCCAAUUACUGGCCCUGUCAGGGUGACGCGUGAUCGAAGAAGAGAGAGAGAGAGAGAGUGAGAGACGGACAGACAACAGCGAGUGAGGGAGAGCAGGGCGCAUUCCAACACACACACCUUUACCUUCUUUCGAUUCUUCACCUCGGAGCGUGCACGUCUCCACCUCUUUCUUGUUGCCUAUCGCUUUCACGAUAAUUUCCUCCUUUUCCCUUUGGCACUCUCUCUCUCUUGCUCUUCCUUCCAUUGUCCAGUGUGUGUGUGUGUGUGUGUGUGUGUGUGUGUGUGUGUGUGUGUGUGUGUGUGUGUGUGUGUGUGUAUCCUUGUUUCUUUCCCUUUUGUCCCCGCUGGCGGUCAUCUAUUCUCCUUCAAUCCUCUCGCUUUUCACAUCGACCAACUGCCUACCCCCCCUACCUUCUCGUUCAUUUCCUCCUCCUGUCUUUUCCUUCUCUCUCUCUCUGUCUCUCUGUCUCUCUGUCUCUCUCUCUCUCUCUCUCUCUCUCUCUCUCUCUCUCUCUCUCUCUCUCUCUCUCUCUCUCUCUCCUCCUCCCAUUCGGAUUCGGACUCCACAGGUCCAGUCUAGGCCGUGCAGAGCACGAAAGGCUUUCACGAAAGAGCGAGAAUUUAAAGGUUGAAAUCUCUCUCUCUGUCUCUCUCUCUCUCUCUUCCCCCAUUCCCUCUAUCUCUCUCUCCCCCUCCUUCCCGACUCCUAUAUGUUAGAGAGCAGGCGUUGGUGGGGGGGGGAAUAAGGCGGGAUAACAGCAGCUAUUAAGCCUGAGUCUAGCAUCACCCCUGGAGCGUUAGCGUGCUAAGUCGCCCCUUUUCUUUUUUUACACUUUCCCCUUUCAUUAGAACAGACCACAUAAGUUGAAAAAGUUGUUGUUCUUUUAGUCCAUGGUUAAUCGACUCUUUCUGUGCAGUGAGCAGUUCCUUUAUGUUGUUUGCUUUAGGUUUUGUGGCUCUAGCUUUAGCUUUAGUUUCCUCAUAAGUCAGGCUAGGGGUGCUAUGCCGCGGCGUCGGGCUGCGACAACAGGAGCAGGCUGAGGCGGUCGUGACUCAUUAACGCAGGGGGCUGUGGGAGCUAAUGAUGCAGGUCAGGUUGCUACCGAGACCACAUGACCAGCCAUGUUCUUGUCUGUUCCUUUCUAUUUUUUUGCUUUGUUUAGCUUUCAUUUUUUGUGUGUUUUGGCCGCUCCAAAAGAAUAUUGAGAAUGUGUGGUUUUCCAGGGCGGACUGGAGCUCUUAUUUUUUUUUACACUGUCCACCUGCAUCAGUGUCACCUGUAUUACCUGCCUGCACUGGCGCAUGCGAGUGAAUACGCACAUACACACACACACACACACACACAUACUCCUCCAAGUACAAUGUUCGAUCACCCCAGAAUUAGAUUGUGGUUAUCAGGAUUUAGCAUUAAAGUGACCAUGGUCAAACCAUGUACAUUUCAAAUUCUUACCAAAUAUGGUGUUUUCAUAAAAAAUAUUCCCUGUGUAAAAACAUUAUGUGGGCAUAAUGUGACCCAAAAGAGUCACAUUGAUUAACCAAAGGAAUUUAUGCUAAUUUAAAAUAAUCUACCUUUCUGAUCAAAAGCAACCCCUUGUUAUGCCUCCAAAUAUUGAGCGUUCCAACGGUGUCGAUUUGACUUUAGGGUAAAGUGAAACAUGAGGGUGCCAUCUGGUGGUCAUUUGUUUUAUUUUAUUUGUAUUGGCAACUGUAAAUGUACUUUGUUCCUUUAAAAUCCAUUGAGGCAAAUUAAUACUACACCUUUAAAUUAGUUUAGUGUUACAAGAAUCUAUCCCUGUGUAAGCAUGAAAAGACUACAACUGGACGGACAGUAUAGUACGUGUGUGUGAGUGUCAAGAACUUGGUGAUUUGUCAUGUAGGUUAUAAUUUGAACCUAAGAGGGAGACGUUCAACCAAGCCUUCCGGAUCUACUGUAGGCCAACACACCUGAUGCUCUUUUGCUCAGUGUAAAUAUGUUUCAGUUCAUCAUGCAGUUCUCUAAACUAGGCUACUUAAGCGUUUAAUUUGGUUUUCUUCGGUAUUGGUUAUCCCGCGUGUCACGUAAUUAAUGAAUCACGACCCCUCCUCCAACCGCCCCUGGUGAUUCAGAUAGUUCAACGUUUAUUCUGCUCCCACAUUUAUGAGUCUAUAGUGUUAAAAUCAUGUUUCAUAAUCAAUCGUGUUCAUUGUUUGUGGUUAUGAUGAGGACUUUUGAAUCCCCCUCCCAAAAAAAAGUGUCUGGUAACAUUGUUGCGCAUUCAGUUACAUGAAGGAAAGCUAAGGUGUGAAUGACUAUUGUAUCUAUUUAUGUAUAUAUGUAAAAAGAUUAAAAGAUAAAAAGAUUCAAAUGUAUAAAAGAUCUUACAAAAUAGAAUUUUGAGAGAGACUAAAAAGGAUAGAUGUACAUUUAGGUAUGUGAAUAAAUGCUGCUAAGGUCUGUAAAUUGCACUUCAGUAAUACCUUAAAAGUGAAUGUUUGUAUAUGUGAAUAAAAGGGAAAAACUUGUAC